rnacentral:rRNA from 1 species
CCCAGACUCCUACGGGAGGCAGCAGUGAGGAAUAUUGGUCAAUGGCCGGGAGGCUGAACCAGCCAAGUCGCGUGAGGGAAGACGGCCCUACGGGUUGUAAACCUCUUUUGUCAGGGAGCAAGGUGCAGGUCGGGACCUGCUGUGAGAGUACCUGAAGAAAAAGCAUCGGCUAACUCCGUGCCAGCAGCCGCGGUAAUACGGAGGAUGCGAGCGUUAUCCGGAUUUAUUGGGUUUAAAGGGUGCGCAGGCGGCCUGGUAAGUCGGAGGUAAAAGCCCGGGGCCCAACCCCGGGGAGCCGUUGAAACUGGCGGGCUGGAGUUGGAGAGAAGUACGCGGAAUGCGCGGUGUAGCGGUGAAAUGCAUAGAUAUCACGCAGAACUCCGAUUGCGAAGGCAGCAUGCCGGCGCCACACUGACGCUGAGGCACGAAAGCGUGGGUAUCGAACAGGAUUAGAUACCCUAGUACC